rnacentral:rRNA from 1 species
GCAAGUCGUACGGUAACAGAAAAGAGCUUGCUCUUUUGCUGACGAGUGGCGUACGGGUGAGUAAUGCAUGGGAAUCUGCCCUAAAGUGGGGGACAACCCGAGGAAACUCGGGCUAAUACCGCAUAAUACCUUCGGGUUAAAGCUGGGGCCUUUUUGGCCUGGCGCUUUAGGAUGAGCCCAUGUUGGAUUAGCUUGUAGGUGGGGUAAAAGCCUACCUAGGCGACGAUCCAUAGCUGGUCUGAGAGGAUGAUC